UUGACCUCGGAUCAGGUAGGGAUACCCGCUGAACUUAAGCAUAUCAAUAAGCGGAGGAAAAGAAACCAACAGGGAUUGCUCUAGUAACGGCGAGUGAAGCAGCAAUAGCUCAAAUUUGAAAUCUGGCGUCUUCGACGUCCGAGUUGUAAUUUGUAGAGGAUGCUUCUGAGUAACCACCGACCUAAGUUCCUUGGAACAGGACGUCAUAGAGGGUGAGAAUCCCGUAUGCGGUCGGAAAGGUGCUCUAUACGUAGCUCCUUCGACGAGUCGAGUUGUUUGGGAAUGCAGCUCUAAAUGGGAGGUAAAUUUCUUCUAAAGCUAAAUAUUGGCCAGAGACCGAUAGCGCACAAGUAGAGUGAUCGAAAGAUGAAAAGCACUUUGGAAAGAGAGUUAAAAAGCACGUGAAAUUGUUAAAAGGGAAGGGAUUGCAACCAGACUUGCUCGCGGUGUUCCGCCGGUCUUCUGACCGGUCUACUCGCCGCGUUGCAGGCCAGCAUCGUCUGGUGCCGCUGGAUAAGACUUGAGGAAUGUAGCUCCCUCGGGAGUGUUAUAGCCUCUUGUGAUGCAGCGAGCGCCGGGCGAGGUCCGCGCUUCGGCUAGGAUGCUGGCGUAAUGGUCGUAAUCCGCCCGUCUUGAAACACGGACCAAGGAGUCUAACAUCUAUGCGAGUGUUCGGGUGUCAAACCCCUACGCGUAAUGAAAGUGAACGGAGGUGAGAACCGCAAGGUGCAUCAUCGACCGAUCCUGAUGUCUUCGGAUGGAUUUGAGUAAGAGCAUAGCUGUUGGGACCCGAAAGAUGGUGAACUAUGCCUGAAUAGGGUGAAGCCAGAGGAAACUCUGGUGGAGGCUCGCAGCGGUUCUGACGUGCAAAUCGAUCGUCAAAUUUGGGUAUAGGGGCGAAAGACUAAUCGAACCAUCUAGUAGC
rnacentral:rRNA from 1 species